UUUGGGCUCCUGACUGUUGUUUUAAGAAAAACGUAUUUAUUAUACUCUAUAAAUUGUGAAUCUGUCCUUUAAGUUACUCUUUAUUACAGUGUUGUCUCCGCUGCCAUGCACUAUUGCACAACUUGUACAAGACAAAAACCCUUUAUGUAGCAACAAUGUAUAUUAUAAUAUAACAUAAUGACAUUUCCAUACAUACAUGGUGGGCCUCCACUUGGAUCUUUGAUCUGUUUGGUUGAAGUUGGCUCAUGGUGGACGGUGAUAGACAGAUGGUUCACCUGCCAAGUAGUUUUUGAAAGCUCUUUUCCAAAGUUUCCAGUGACGACUUCUCAGACGGUUCUGUGUAACAAACCAUCUGGCUCCUCAGGUAACACCCUUCCACACAAACACACAUGCAUGUGCACGCCUUCAAACUCAAUAUUUUAUACCUCCUAGGUGCAGUACAUUUCUGUAUAUGAAUUACAGUAUAGGCUAUUGAGCUUUGAAAAUGUGUGUGUGUGUGCACACAUCUUUGUACAGGUGUACUUGUGUUCCUACAUGCAAGUUUAUGUGAUUGCAUGACCAUAUAAGCCGAGAGCAAGUGGUUCUCAUGGCAAUUUUCUUCUUCAUUCGCUCUGAUCUCGUGUCUUUGAUGUACACCUAAGUUCAAGGCCCUCAAUAAUUUAUCAUGUGCACUCGCACCUACACAGAGGCCCAUACACAACCACACAAACAAUCCUUCAAGACAAUAAAAACAUUGAGUAUCUUGCAACGCCGCAAAGAUGCAGCUGUGGGGAAAACCAAACUAAAUCUGCCUUUGUUUGGUUUAGUAGAUUUGAGACCAUCAGUGAGUUUAUGCAGCUCCGCUUGCAGCCAAAACCUAUAUGCAACUCGGGGGGGCUGAUCAUUUCAUACCUGGCAAGAUGAAGAGACAUUUCAAAGCACAAGAAGCUUUGGAGAGAAUCACGCAGCUUAUUGACAGCGAACAAGACUCGGAUGAGGAAGCCUCUGAAACUGAGGACACAAAGACAGAUAAUGAAGUCGAGUUUGAACUAGAGUCUGAUUCCUCCGAUUCAUCUGAUGACUCCACUGUGACUGGAGAGUAAACAGAAGAGACAGCGGGUCCUUCCGAUCACGAAUGGAAAUCAAAGAAUGGGCAACUUGUCUGGACUCCCACUCAAGCGGUGUGAUCCCAGGACUCACACGGUACGCCACCGCUCAUAUCAGCACUGUGACGUCCUGUUUCGAUCGCUUCACGACAGAAGAGAUCAUCCAACUUCUUGUGGAUAUGACUGUUGCGACCCCUCCUUUUCUGCCUGCAGUGGUUUGACUGGCCGCUUCCUGCAGGAGCUGGCAGUCAGGGAGGGUCAUUACGGUAAUGCUGGGACACCUGAGUAGGCCUCCACCAAGGCUAUAAAUACUAGUCUGAUCCCAUUGGGUACGUCUCAAGUCUCUUAUUUUAUGUCUCCUUGCUCCUCGCUUGAACUGGAAGUUGUUCCCGAUGCGCCAUUUUGACAGCCGCCCCAAGUCUCUUAUUUUGCUCGGAGGAGCGAGGAGCGAGGAAGCACGAAGGCAGACUUCCCGGAAGACUUUUAGCUGAACGCCAUAGCAUAUAAAAACUCCGCCCCUACAUCUGGUACAUUUGAACGAGAUGGCGGAAAAACAGUAUAAGUAUAAAUGCUUGUUAAUUUCUUCUUUGCAACCAAUCGCUGUAAUUCAGAUGUGCUUACGUUAACGACUUCAAAAAGCAAUGAAAUUAUAAUACAAGAAGACGGGGAUACUAAACAUUGUUAUGUGUCAACUAGUUUAUUCAAUCCACAACCCGUUUUGUUAUGUUAUAAAUCACACUAACAGCACCCACCAAAGUGUGUAACAUCCUUGAUCAUUAUUGAACAGCAUUUAUCGCACAUCAAGUGUUACAAACAAAAUUACAAGCAUCCACGUGGCUGCCACACGGUAUUUGCAGCUGUUCUCUUCAAGGAGCAAACGGGAAUAUGUCUCAUUUAACAGGGGAAGACGAAGUGACACAAAAACUUAUCAGAUUAAGGUCACAAAAUGACACUGAGGCACACUGCCAAGAAGGCCUGGUGGGAAAUCAUUAAGAUGAUGAAGAUGGAGGGAAAGCUAACCCCCACACAAGUGUCCAAAAAAUGGGACAAUCUCAAGAGGAAAUACAAGGAGCUCAAACAUCCACCGACAGGGAAAAAAAACAAACGCACCUCCAGGGGGGCUUUAAUGGCCUUCUUCAAAGAGUUACAUAACAUAACAAUUUGCUGUAUUUGUGAUGUGUUAGUUCAAAUAUUAUUAAUGCAAGAUAUUUGUGUGAUUAUUACCUCUAGUAAAAGUAGAGCUGCACGCCUCAGGGGUGCUCUCCUGCGUCCCGUGUGCUCCUGCUCCCGCUGGAGCAUGUUCCAUGCGGAAAUCACAGUGGUUAUGUUUGACAUACUUGUAGAUCAUUUGUGUGGAGGUGUGAAGUUGCCUGUUUAUUUGUAGCCGCCGUGAAACAGUUAGAAAAUAUAUUUUUAUUCCUCGCAUUCACCGGCUUUCUCGCUACCAUUGCUGCCCUCUCCUCAUCCACUCUCUAGCUCGCUUGACCACUGCUUCUCUCUCUCUCUCGUCUUUUUUAAAAUGAUUCGGGGAGCCGACAGCAAAGCCUCACUUUACUUUUAACGAAGUUUACUUUCAAACAAAGAGAAAUGUCCUCCCCUCUUUCUAGUAACGUGUUUGUCUUCCCUCACAGCUCUAAUCAGUCUGAUGGCUUUAAUAUACAAAUGUCAAUUAAUCUGCACGAGUAAUAAAGAAAUAGAAGAAUCACUAUAAGCGUUUUCCACUGUAUUUCAUUGCAUUAAUGCAGCAGAUCCAGCUGUGAUGCCGUCAUCAGAAACGGACGUCGCUUCACAUGACGCUUCAGAGGAAAGCCCGUCUCAUGUCUCUUAAAACAAAUUUCCUUGCUUCCUCUCUCCUCGCUUGGAAAAGACGCAAGUGUGUUAUGUGCAGUUAUGUUGCUUUAUUUUCGAAUAAAACCAAUAUUUGGCACUUUAAUUUCUCUUCACUGGCUCCCAGUAAAGCAAAGAAUUGAUUUUAAAAUACUUCUUAUUGUUUGUAAAGCUAUGAACGGUCUAGCUCCCUCCUACGUUGUUGACAUGCUCUCUGAAUACACACCAGACAGACCCUUGAGAUCAUCAAAUAAAGGUCUCCUCACCAAGAAUAAAUACUGAAUCAGCUCAUGGUGCCUUCAGUCAUUAUGGUCUUACUCAUGAACUCAGGUCUGUUACAACAGUGUCUUCCUUUAAAAGCAAACUAAAAACAUCUUUUUUCACAAGCUUUUAGUUAGGUUAAUGGGUAGAACCUUCUUUUUAGAAAUAGUAUUAUUGUUAUUUCUUUUAACAAUGAUAAUACCUUCUUACCCUACUCUCUUAUUGUAAUACCUUCUCACCUUCUAAUUUUA